rnacentral:rRNA from 1 species
UGGCUCAGGAUGAACGCUGGCGGCGUGCCUAACACAUGCAAGUCGAACGAAGCACAUCUGAUCGGAGAUUCGUUGAAGAUUGGAUAUGACUUAGUGGCGGACGGGUGAGUAAUGCGUGAGCAACCUGCCUUUCAGAGGGGGACAACAGUUGGAAACGACUGCUAAUACCGCAUAAUGUACAGAGGGGGCAUCCUUUUUGUACCAAAGGAGCAAUCCGCUGAAAGAUGGGCUCACGUCUGAUUAGCUUGUUGGUGGGGUAACGGCCUACCAAGGCUGCGAUCAGUAGCCGGACUGAGAGGUUGAACGGCCACAUUGGGACUGAGAUACGGCCCAGACUCCUACGGGAGGCAGCAGUGGGGAAUAUUGGGCAAUGGGCGAAAGCCUGACCCAGCAACGCCGCGUGAAGGAAGAAGGUCUUCGGAUUGUAAACUUCUUUUAUGAGGGACGAAGGACGUGACGGUACCUCAUGAAUAAGCCACGGCUAACUACGUGCC